GACGAACGCUGGCGGCGUGCUUAACACAUGCAAGUCGAACGGAAAGGCCCUGCUUUUGUGGGGUGCUCGAGUGGCGAACGGGUGAGUAACACGUGAGUAACCUGCCCUUGACUUUGGGAUAACUUCAGGAAACUGGGGCUAAUACCGGAUAGGAGCUCCUGCUGCAUGGUGGGGGUUGGAAAGUUUCGGCGGUUGGGGAUGGACUCGCGGCUUAUCAGCUUGUUGGUGGGGUAGUGGCUUACCAAGGCUUUGACGGGUAGCCGGCCUGAGAGGGUGACCGGCCACAUUGGGACUGAGAUACGGCCCAGACUCCUCCGGGGGGCAGCAGUGGGGAAUUUUGCACAAUGGGCGGAAGCCUGAUGCAGCAACGCCGCGUGGGGGAUGACGGCCUUCGGGUGGUAAACCGCUUUCGCCUGUGACGAAGCGGGAGUGGCGGUAAUGGGGAAAGAAGCAGCGGCUAACUACGU
rnacentral:rRNA from 1 species